UGGGGAAUUUUGGACAAUGGGCGCAAGCCUGAUCCAGCCAUGCCGCGUGAGUGAAGAAGGCCUUCGGGUUGUAAAGCUCUUUCGGCCGGGAAGAAAUCGCACAGGCUAAUACCUUGUGUGGAUGACGGUACCGGAAUAAGAAGCACCGGCUAACUACGUGCCAGCAGCCGCGGUAAUACGUAGGGUGCGAGCGUUAAUCGGAAUUACUGGGCGUAAAGCGUGCGCAGGCGGUUGUGUAAGACAGGCGUGAAAUCCCCGGGCUCAACCUGGGAACUGCGCUUGUGACUGCACGGCUAGAGUACGGCAGAGGGGGGUGGAAUUCCACGUGUAGCAGUGAAAUGCGUAGAGAUGUGGAGGAACACCGAUGGCGAAGGCAGCCCCCUGGGCCGAUACUGACGCUCAUGCACGAAAGCGUGGGUAGCAAACAGGAUUAGAUACCCUGGUAGUCCACGCCCUAAACGAUGUCAACUAGGUGUUGGGUGGGUAAAACCAUUUAGUACCGUAGCUAACGCGUGAAGUUGACCGCCUGGGGAGUACGGCCGCAAGGUUA
rnacentral:rRNA from 1 species